AGCCUUCAAACAUAAGCCAAAUUUUAAUACCUCAUUAUACACGUAGCAGCAACUCAUCUUCUAUCUGCCACUUUUCAAUCUCCUUCCCACACGUUUCGGACAUGCACAAGUUCUUUGCAGAAAUUUGCCAACGCACGAUCACUUCUAUUUCUUAUUUUCUUUUUCUUCCCCUGCCUCGGCUUCUCCUUUCUAGUUCCUUCUUUUCCUUUCUUUUAGAACACAACCGAGAGGAAGAGAUGUGGGAGAGACCGAAAGAGGGAGAAGAAAGAGAGAGCUGGUGGGUGAGCCACCGGUUGGGGCGGACGGGAACGUUGGGCCGGUAGGCCACGGCUUGGCUUCGGCAAGGCCGCGGGGAGUCUGAUUUUUGGUACUUUCUCAGUACCCAAACCAAGAGGAAACCGUUUUAGGAUACAUUAAGCCGGAGUCACUUUUUGGUAAUGGCAUAGACCUCGCUAAGGGUAAUAGAACGUUGGGGGAUUGAUGUAAUCUUUAUAUUGUAUAGUAUGUUUCCCUUUUGAAAUUUAUAGCUUUGUAAAGAGCAACUCUUAUGUACAUAUAAAUAAAAUAGAUGAUUAAGAUCUAUAUC